GGUUAAGAAGAUAAAAAAUUGGUUUCCCUUGGGCUCAAGGUCACCUAUGGCUACCGUGGAAACAGCCCGUGUCAAUCUGUAAUGAACUAAGGCUCCUUGAAGAAAUGGGUGAUUUCACCUCUGGGGCAGGAAAUGUACAAGAUGAGCCUGGAACAUCUUGGCAACUCUGAAAGACAGCUCAACAGGAUCCAAGAGCCAAUGUGGAUUGGUUCUCACUGGCAGAGAUGAUACGAUUUAAGCAUCAAUGAAGAUAACAACUGGAAUGGUUUGAAACACAUCAGGGCUCUAGCAAUGACCAUCAAUGACCGAUAACAUUCCAGCAUGAGAAGAAGACUAUGUGCCCC